UAGAGUUUGAUCCUGGCUCAGAACGAACGCUGGCGGCAGGCCUAACACAUGCAAGUCGAACGCCGUAGCAAUACGGAGUGGCAGACGGGUGAGUAACGCGUGGGAACCUUCCCAGUGGUACGGAAUAGCUCAGGGAAACCUGGGGUAAUACCGUAUACGCCCUUCGGGGGAAAGAUUUAUCGCCAUUGGAUGGGCCCGCGUCGGAUUAGCUAGUUGGUGGGGUAACGGCCUACCAAGGCGACGAUCCGUAGCUGGUCUGAGAGGAUGAUCAGCCACACUGGGACUGAGACACGGCCCAGACUCCUACGGGAGGCAGCAGUGGGGAAUAUUGGACAAUGGGCGCAAGCCUGAUCCAGCCAUGCCGCGUGAGUGACGAAGGCCUUAGGGUUGUAAAGCUCUUUUGGCGGGGAAGAUAAUGACGGUACCCGCAGAAUAAGCUCCGGCUAACUUCGUGCCAGCAGCCCCGGUCAA
rnacentral:rRNA from 1 species